rfam:Neotoma lepida isolate 417 scaffold_687, whole genome shotgun sequence.
GGAGAGAUGGCUCAGCGGUUAAGAGCACUGGAUACUCUUCCAGAGGACCUGGGUUCAAUUCCCAGCACCC